GAUGAACGCUAGCGGCAGGCUUAAUACAUGCAAGUCGAGGGGUAACAUGGUAGCAAUACUGAUGACGACCGGCAAACGGGUGCGGAACACGUACAGAACCUUCCUUUAAGCGGGGGAGUAGCCCAUAGAAAUGUGGAUUAAUACCCCACUAGUAAUAUUGUCUGGCAUCAGAUGGUAUUUAAAGAUUUAUCACUUAAAGAUGGCUGUGCGGCUGAUUAGGUA
rnacentral:rRNA from 1 species